rnacentral:rRNA from 1 species
GACAGAGGGUGCAAACGUUGUUCGGAAUUAUUGGGCGUAAAGGGCGCGUAGGCGGUGCGGUAAGUCACCUGUGAAAUCUCCUGGCUCAACUGGGAGCUUGCAGGCGAAACUGCCGUGCUGGAGUGUGGGAGAGGUGCGUGGAAUUCCGCGUGUAGCAGUGAAAUGCGUAGAGAUGCGGAGGAACACCGAUGGCGAAGGCAGCCCCCCUGGGCUAGCACUGACGCUCAGGCACGAAAGCGUGGGGAGCAAACAGG